rnacentral:snRNA from 1 species
AUCGCUUCUCGGCCUUUUGGCUAAGAUCAAGUGUAGAAAUGUAGGGGGAGAGAAGGGGAAUGUGCUGGAAGAGAGUCUCUCCCCAGUUUUUUUUUUAAUUUUUUUAGUUUCCCCAAUACAUUAU